UCAGCGGAAGGGGAAAGGCGGGGCGAGCGCGGAGCCGAGUCUCUGCCGGCGAGGGUGAGGGCUGCGCUCCUGUCGUCCGUAGUUCCGGGAGACCCGGUCAAAGUGAUCAGGCCGGCGCUGCAGGGGCGACAGCUUCUCGGCAGGACCUCGCGAGGUCUCGGAGGCUCAUGGAAAGGAGGCCACCAAGGCCUCCCUGUUGUCCAGGGCAUCACCUGCUCGCCUACCCACGACGCUGCGGUAGGUCUAGACGUCCGGGAUGGUUUCCUAAAAAGACGCUGUAAUCUUGUAAUUCUGUAACAAGAUGACAAUAAUAAAAAUGGAGGACGACUGUG
rnacentral:lncRNA from 1 species